rnacentral:rRNA from 1 species
UACGUAGGGCGCAAGCGUUAUCCGGAAUUAUUGGGCGUAAAGAGCUCGUAGGCGGUUUGUCGCGUCUGCCGUGAAAGUCCGGGGCUCAACUCCGGAUCUGCGGUGGGUACGGGCAGACUAGAGUGAUGUAGGGGAGACUGGAAUUCCUGGUGUAGCGGUGAAAUGCGCAGAUAUCAGGAGGAACACCGAUGGCGAAGGCAGGUCUCCUGGGCAUUAACUGACGCUGAGGAGCGAAAGCGUGGGGAGCGAACAGGAUUAGACUAC